UACUAUGUUCCAACAACCCUUAUUGUGUUAGCUUCAUCUUCAUUCACUUGAAAAACUCUUGCAAGUCCGAAGUCAGAUAUCUUCGGAUUCAGGUUCUCAUCUAACAAAAUGUUGCUGGCUUUUAGAUCUCUGUGUAUAAUCUUUAGUCUUGAAUCUCUGUGAAGGUACAAAAGACCUCUGCAAAUCCCUUCCAUUAUGUUGAACCGAGUCCUCCAAUCAAGAAUCUUUUGCUUCAAUGGGUCUGAGAGAAGCUAACAAAAGCAUUAACUUCUUCUUCAAGUAAAAAACAGAGUUAAGAAACAGAGGAGAUAAGUAUACCAAAUAGAUAGGCAUCCAAACUUUUCUUUGGCAUGUAUUCAUAUACUAACAACCUCUCUUCACCUUCUAUGCAACAUCCAAGUAACUUCACCAGAUUCCUAUGUUGCAACUUUGAAAUCACAACAACUUCGUUCAAAAGUUCAUCAAGUCCUUGUCCUGAUGCCCUUGAUAGCCUCUUCACUGCAAUUUCUUGCCCUUCUGAUAAUACUCCCUGAAGAAAAAGAUUACCAGUCGCUUAUUCCGUGAUAGUCUCUUUUGAAAAUGGAUUCUUCAUUAAUGCAUUUACCUUGUAAACAGGACCAAAGCCGCCUUGCCCGAGCUUGUUUCCCAGAGAGAAGUUAUCUGUUGCUGUAGCCAACACUUGAAACUCAAAGAGAGGAAGCUCCUUGAGAUUUGCUUGGUUAGAAGUAGGCUCAUUACCACUUGUAAGUGCUUCCAUUCUCUGUAACAAUAUCUCCGCACUUCUAUUUUCUUGUGGUUCUGCUAAGACAAUGAUGGACUAAGCAAACAAGCUUUUGGUAAAAGAAACAAUCUAACGAGUAAACAAAACUCUAACCUGGACGCUUUUUGAAUUUCCAGCAUGCUAUAAGAAUGCAAACCGUAGCAGCAAACGCAACACCUAGAACAGGUGCUGUGAUCAUAAUAAGUACUCGCUCGCUAUGUGUUUCUACAAAAAGUUAGGUGAAAGAUAUAAGUUAAUGAAGAGUAAAACAAGUGAGACUUAGAGAUUUUUACUCACUGAGUUCAGAAUGUGCAAGUCGAAUGUAAAGAUCAAUGCCACUUCCCAAGAAUGAUUGCAUAUCUACCAAUUCACCACUCCAAAGCAUGCAUCCUAUUCCUUGAUCAUAUGCAUAAGCUGUGCAAGAACAGUUAUCUAAACAAACCUUAGGACAAGCUUCCUUAUUGGCUUGAGACGGUUCCACAUUAACUGGUACUUUCAUCUUCUCCAGUUUCAAAAACCCAUCUCUUUUUCCUCCACCAUUACCACUUCUAUUCCCAAGUCUUUGGCACCGUAAUGGAGCUCUUCUCACACAUCCAUUCAUCCAAUUCCCUGCAGUCCACUCUGUGUUAUUCCUUGGCACAAACCCUUUUACACAUUUACAUUGUGGAUCUUCCCCGGGAUUGCAGCUCCCAUAUGGACCACAUCUACUGUAUGAAUCACAAUCUGUGGAUGGAAACCUAACACCGACUCUCCAAUCAUUCAUAGAAGGUCUCCAAUCUCUCUGAUAUAUAGCUCCGUUAGGAUCCAAGGUAAUGUGAUACAUGAAAGAAUCAUUUGCAUAGGUCAAUGAAACCAUUCCUUGGUUAUCAUUGUUAAGGUUAAGCCCAUCAAUGUUCAGAAGGGUAUCCAUAUCCGGUAAACCGAUGAAUACCUGACCGUUCCAAGGACCGCUACGCCACUUUGUAACAUUGUUGUACUUGGUUAGAAGCUCAGGAAACGGGAAAGGAACAAGACUAACUGUGUAGUUCCCUGUUGAAGGAUCUACAUAGCUUUUCCAAGAAGUAAGUCCUAGAUUCUCUCCGGUUUUGAGGUUGGUCAUAAGAUUCAUUCUUGGCAACAAAGUAUUGUAGUUAUGCUUGAAACUCUCCCACAGAAUAUCUCUGUUGUCUUGUAAUACAAGAUUCCCAUUAUCCAUUAGCUGAACCCAUGUAGCAUUUGGAGACACUGAUGCUGUAACGUUGGUCGACCAUACAUGGCGGUUUUGACCAUCCUUAACCACGAGAUUUCCUUUGCCAGAGAUCGAGAUAACACCAUAAGUGUUGUUGAUGGGGGUGUCUUUGUUAGCAACCCAAACAACAGUUUGAACUGGAACCUUAUCGUACCAGAUCCCAACAUAACGUAAAUGACCAGUGGAGGUUACAGGAGUGAAGAAACCGAACCUGAAAAUACCAUUGUUGCUGAGAAGUGUCUCUGAGCCUUUGACCGGAGUCGAGAAGGUGAUUCUGUCUUCACCAAAAGAGAGCCUUACAGAGAAGCAAGAGAAUGCUGCAAGUAGCAGAAGAAGAAUGUGACGACGUGCGUUUAGUAGAACCACCACCAUAACUAUUUGCUCCGUUGUUUGUUCUCUUUGGAAGGUCUUCCUCAAAAGAGAGGUAUAUUAAUAAUUUAAUAUAGUGGUCUUUGUCUGUAUAAAUAUUUUAGAAUAUGAUGUGAAACAUGAGUCCUAAUAAAAAUAAUAAUGUAGUGAAACAUGCGAUCCAAGAAAAGGGGCAUUUACUUCAACAAAAGUCUUCAGAGAAGGUCAUCAAUUAACAUCCAUCUCUCUGAACAUGAUAAUAAUGUGCUGUGAAUGUCCUUGUUCUACUUGAUUUUCUUUGUCUUUUUGUGAAGUCACAUCCUAAUUAUUCUUUGGAAGAAUAUGUUUAAGAAUUUGUGUUUAAUUAUUUCAAGUAAAGUUAAAAUGCCAGAACUCUGUCAGGUUGCAAUGCCGACAUACUAACUAUAGAUUUUAGUCCUGAAAUAUUUUAGUAUUCACACCAGCUUUACCAUGUCAAAAAAGAAGUUUCAAAAAAGUAAAGAUGCAUGUCCUUCUCUUUGUGGUCUUGCUUGGGUGUAAUUACUAAACCACGGCACCAAUAUAAAUGUCAAGGUUGUUGUGUAGUUAAUGUAUCCAUGAAAGUCAAAAACUCAUCUUCUCCGUAUCCAAGUUUGUCUCAAUACAUAUAGUAAAGUUACCCAAAAAGACAAAACCAUAAUAACGUUUGCAUUCUCUAAACAAUCUACUACUUCUCAAGAACACGGAUAGUUUUUGUUUUAUCAUAUUCUCUCAGGGUAUGUUUCUUCAUCCAGGUUAGUUAAUUCAUCUACGAGUAGGUCAAGUUUCAGUACAAGAAUUGAAGAAUCUAUCGAAAUUAUCAACACAACUUAAUCUGUUUUACCUAUGUUGUUAUAAUUUUGAUAAUAGUACCAAAUCUGUGAUUAGUAAAUCAGAACUUUACUUCUCUCAAAUACAUCUUUUUAUCUUCACUCUAACCAUUAAACAUACACAGAAUAACAAAACUUUGCAAACAUAGAAGGUUCUUAAAACAUAUAUGUAUAUGUAUUAAUAAACGUACAGAUUAGCUGUUUGGGCUUAACGUCCGGUUACAGCUGUGAGGCUCACAUCGUUGAUAGAGACCUUUUGACUGCUCUGGUCAGAAGAUUCAGCGAUUGAAAAUCCUCUUCUUGCUAUAAACGCAGGCUGCUUUGGCUCAGGGAGGUCUGUGUUCUCGGUAGUUAGCAUCCAAAUCAUGGUUGACACAUUUGGUCUAUCGCUUGCAACUUCUUGCACACACAACAAACCAAUCUGAACACACUUUGUAAACUCUUUCUCAAAACACUCAUCAAAGACGGUUGGAUCUGCUAGAGAAUUAGCCUUGCCGUCAUUCCAUAGCUUCCACGCCUUUAAAAAGAGACCAAACUUAAAUAAGUUUCAAAACAUAAGCAUAAGUUACUAAACAUUGAUUCGUACACUUACAUAAGCUAAAAGGUUUAGAUUGUUGUCGUCCUUGUGGGAGUUUUUUUUUCCACUUAUGAUCUCUAGAAAUAUAACUCCCAAGCUGAAAACAUCUGAUUUUUCUGAAAAGAAACCUUCCAUUGCAUAUUCCGGUGACAUAUACCCGCUGCAAAAAACAAAAACAAAAAUUUCAUUCAAGUUGUUAAGGUAAAAGUAACAAUUCUUGUUGGAAAUGGAUACUUACUAUGUUCCAACAACCCUUGUUGUGUUAGCUUCAUCUUCAUUUACUUGAAAAACUCUUGCAAGUCCGAAGUCAGAUAUCUUUGGAUUCAGAUUGUCAUCUAACAAAAUGUUGCUGGCUUUUAGAUCUCUGUGUAUGAUCUUUAGUCUUGAAUCUCUGUGAAGGUACAAAAGACCUCUGCAAAUCCCUUCCAUUAUGUUGAACCGAGUCUUCC
rnacentral:lncRNA from 1 species